CCAGAAUACAACAUAAGGCAGAGUAAGGAAUAAUUCACUCUCUGAAUGACUGUUUUCAAGCUGGGACAUGGGUCUCCUGCCUUCAGACUUGGUCUCAGAUAGAACUUAACCUUCAAUUCUUCUGGUUUUUGGACUGAGAAUAGGAUUGGGGCUUAAACCAUCAGCUUUCCUGGUUCUCGGGUCUUUGGAUCCUGAUUGGAAUGAUAUCAUUGGCUUUCCAGAGUCUUUAGCUUGCUGACUGCAUAUCUUGGAACUUCUCAGCUUUCAUAAUCAAUUACAGUUGAAUAUGAGGAGAUUGCAAGAGGACAACUCGGCUCUAAAAUCGAUGCAUUAACAUGUCAUUGGAAUUGACCUUGCCAAAAGAUGCCUCCCUAAAUCCACAAGAAUCUCCUUGUUUGAACACAGUUUCUAAUCCAGCUGUAAUGAAGACAGACAACAGUCAAAUUAACAACUGAUCAGGAGGAGAAGUUCAUACUCCUUGAGCUGGAUCUAUCUGCACAUGCACCUGGCCCAGGAAGCUGAAAUGGGAGAUCUGAUGAGCAGUGGAGGACUGAACCAAAGCCCUUGGCUUUUGCUCCAUACCAGUCAGAGUCUCAUCAGGAUAUCAUGUUGCAUUGAGUAGUCAUGUCUCCACAGGCUUUUCUUGGCUGCGACUCUUACUCACGUUUUCCUUGGUUUUGCCCACCUUACAGUUUACAGUAGUGGUCAGGUAUUUUGUAGUAUGUCCCUCACUUGGGCUUUGCUUGAUGCUUAUCUCCUGAGAAAACUAGGGAUAUGUAUUUUGGGGAGGAAGGCCACAGAGAUGAAGUGACAUUCUUUUCACAUCAUAUCAAUGCUACAUACUAUCAAAAGGGCUUAUCACUGUUGAUGUUAAUUUUAAUCACCUGGCUAAGAUAUUCUUUUUCAGGAUUUUGACUUUAAAGUUACCCUUUAUGCUUUUCCUUCUCAUAAAGUGCUCUUUGAAAUGAAGUCACUCUGUGCAGCAGACAUUUAAAAAGCAGGAAAUUAUGGUGACAGAGUAUCUGUAUAAAUUAUUUGCAGUUCUUUUAUUUUCAGAGUUUGGAAUUAUAGCACUCCUAUAAAUCUUAUUACUAAUGGUGCCACAAAUUGUGUACUACUGAUAUGUAUUAGUGCACAACUUAAAGCAUGUGGACAUGAGCUGUAUUUGAAAAAACAUUCAGAUGGAAGAGCUACCUGAUUUGAAGUGAAUCUUAAUUGGAACUUAAUGAUGCCUCCUAGUAAUUUACUAUUUUAGCUGAACCUACAGUAUCAGCUGUAGCCCAGAAAAUAUAAGAGCUACAAUUCGUACAAUUCAACAUCAGCUGCCAAGGCCCACCUGGACUGCACCUGCAAAACCAGCUGUGGUUUCUUUGCUCUCACAAUUCAUGUCAGUGUUUUUCAGCCAAUGCAUCACUGGUUUCGAAUUUUAUACUGUUCCUCUCUCAGUCCUCCACCCCUCUAGUUUCUAAAUGAUAGAGAAUAAUUAGGUGAGGUUUAAACUCUCAGGAUUAUUCAGGGUUUGUGGAGAGUAGGAAGGUUUCUUCCAGGUUACAGCACAAUUUAAGGAGCCUGGCAAGAAGCAUCCAAUAUUAGCAAGUAGAAAAGCAGCAUAAGUAUGAGGUUGGAACUUCCCACGAUACUUAGUACAUGGAAAAAAAUGUAGAACAUACCAAAAAAAAAGCAAAUUGUAAAAAAAUUUCACAAAUAAAAAUACUGUUAUGAAAAUUAUAAUUCACAUUUUUAAUAUUUUUUAUUGUAAAAUGUAUAAAAUUUGCCAUUUAACCUCUUAAGUGUACAAUUCAGUGGCAUUAAUUGUAUUUACAGUUUUGUGCAACAAUCACCACUAUUUUCAAAAAUUUUCAUCAAUCCAAACAGAAACUCUGGCAAUUAGUAACAACUCCCCAUUUUUUAUUCCUAAUCCAUCCCCUAGUAAACUCUAAAUCUUGUCUCUGUGAAUCUCCCUGUUCUAAAUAUUUGUAUAAGAGGAAUCAUACAACAUUGACCCUUUUGUGUCUGGCUAAUUUCACUUUGCAUAAUGUUUAAAAGCUUCAUCCAUAUAGUGACAUGUAUGAGAACUUCAUUUCUUUUUUAUGGCUCAAUUAUAUUCCACAGUAUGCACACACACCCCAUUUUGUUUAUCCAUUCAUCUGUUGAUAGACACACGUGGGUUAUUUCCUCCUUUUGGCUGUUAUGAAUAAUGCUGCUAUAAACACUAGUGUGCAUUUAUCUGAAUUCAUGUUUUACAUUCAUUGGGAUACCAAAUUAAAAUGCUGGGUCAUAUGGUAAUUCUGUUUAACAUUUUAAGGUAUCACCAAACUGUCUUCCACAGCAGCUGCAUCAUUUUAAAUGCAGACCAACAAAGUAUGAUUCUCCAAAUUUCCCAGUUACUCGUCAACUCUUGUUCUACAUUUUCUAACUAUAGUGAUACUAGUAGGUAUAACAUUAUGUCAUUGUGAUUUUGAUUUGCAAUGGCCUAAAAACUAAUGGUUUUUUAAUAACUUUCAUGUUGUACUCAUUGGCCAUUUGCAUAUCUUUAGCAAAAUGUCUAUUCAAAUCCUUUGCCUGUUUUUAAUUGGGUUGUUUUGUCUUUUUGUUGUAGAGUUGUAGUUUUUUAAUGUCUUGAUAUAAAUCUCUUACAAGAUACAUACUUCACAGUACAUUAUCUCAUUUUGUAAAUAAGUUAUUUCACUCUCUUAGUGAUGUUUUUAUUAUCUAAAGGUUUUAAUACUUUUUAAAACUUGUACUGUGAAUAUGAUAUGCCCUGUGAUUAACAAAUUUAUUUAUUACUUAAACAACUUAAUUUUUAAAAAUAAUUGCAUGAAUAUUUUUGUCCUAUUUGUUCCAUUCCUACUUCGUGAACACCAAUUAUCUGUUUGACAGAUUGUCAUUUUCCAUGCUUCAUACAAAUUCUUUUUUCUUCUGCAUUUUUUUCUUUCCAAUCUUUGUGAAUGUAUUUAAUUUUCUUGCCUUGAUAUUCUGACUAGAACCUCCAGUAUAAUUUAUUUAUU
rnacentral:lncRNA from 1 species